rnacentral:lncRNA from 1 species
GCCCUGCCCUGCCUUGCUUUGCCUUACCCUGCCUGGCUCCGCUUGGCUCGGCUCCGCUCAGCGCAGCCCGACCUGUCUCGGUACGGCGCGGUUCGGCUCUGAGCCCCCGUGGCUCUGCCCCGCUUCUCGUUCUCUCCGCUUCGUAUUUAUCUUUCUCUCUCUCUCUUUCUCUCUCUCUUUUUUUUUUUUUUUUUUUUUAUUUUAAUGUGUGUGUGGUUCCCGGUGGCAGCUCCCGGCCGCCCUGCCCCGGCCGUGCCCGCAUCCUGGAGCGGACGGACGGACGGACGGACAGAUGGCCGGCAUCCCCGACGGAGGGAUGUUUCUGUCUUUGGUUAUCUAGCUGUAUGAGUGUUGUGGAGCCAUCAUAAAGCUAGAUAACCGAAAGUAGAAAUGACUUCCAGACCUGCUCGCCCGGGGGAAGCGGCCGCACCAGGACCGGCGGUGCAGAGACGGCCCGACUCGCCGCCUUGGGGCUCCAGACAUGACUGAGAGUUCGUGGAGUGGGAUGCCGUGGGAAGGGCUGGGACGUCUCCACCUGAGCAAGGAGAGAUCCCAGCAAGUGGAGAAGGGAUUUUUCAAGCCCGUGAGUUCCUUUGAGCUGUUGGCUACCGCCUGCCCAGACUUGCCACCUGACUUCUCCGAGUUUCUCCAGGAGGGUCCCAACUGCUUCUGCAUUGGCCCCAGAGAGGAGGCAGCUUUGAUUCAUGAGCACAGCGGGUUUCUGCAUCACUUCGAAUCACGCCGGUCCACCCAUGGGGAGGGAGCCAGGGCAACACAAGGGAUCAUCCCACAUCACUCCUGUAUGUUGCCUUCAGUGCCCUCAAUACCCCUGAGCAGGACCAAAGCACUUAGACAGAGAGACCCAAGCCAGUCACUGUAACAACUGGUGAAAUACCAGGUGUGCGAAGGUUGGAAGGAGCUUUUUGCUCCCGGCUUUGCUCAUGGAGCAGAGCUUGGCCCUUGCUGCUCUUGAUCCCUGGGUCUGUGGAGCUGUGGGAGCACGGCCUUCCCAAAGGUGCUGUGCUUGUGGCCCAGAGGACCGUGAGCCUGUCCAGGCCAGACAGCCCGGCUGCUGUUGUGCUGCACCCUCUCUGUUCCUGUAAGAGAAACGUACUGCCUGUAAUUAUCUCCCAUUCAAAUCCCGCCCCCCCAUGCACUGUUGAAAAUAAACUCUCCCUUUUGCAAAAAGUGAGCCGUGUG